AGCAGCCAUUUAAUUUUUUUUUGCUCUGUCUCCCUGACCCAUGUGAUUUGCAGAUGGUCUUACGGGAUUUCGGUCUAUCUUCGUAUCUUCUCUGCUACUUCAAAGACAGUGGGAGACUUCCCGUUUUGCCUCUGUGCUGAUGGAGAAUGCUUAGCUGAGAUGAUGUUGAUACUGUGCUCUGGACUGUGUACUUCAGAACCAUGUUAUCCUAUCCCCCCAAAGAGUCAAGAAAUCCAUCAGAAACAGAAGACGUUGGAUUCUCCAAUGUGUAAUAUGCUCGCACUGCCUGCUGCUUUAUAAUUUACAUCAUAGGAGUUCACAUUCUGAGCUUGACCUCGACGCUGCUGCUGGAUGGGUUUUCAGGAGUGAGCUCCAUGCUUGCAGUAGCGGUGUCAUGUCGGUGUUUCAAGGAGGACCUUUUUCCCUCUUCUCCUGCCAUGGAGUGCUUGAGAGCUGCAGAGCUUUUUGCUUCUUGGCCUGUUUGUGACUGGGUGAGAGAGAGACAGGAAAGAUAAGGAUUUGACUGCAUUUGGGUCUCUGAAAUGACCAAGAGGUUGAG
rnacentral:lncRNA from 1 species